rnacentral:rRNA from 1 species
AUCUGCCACCAUACCACCCUGAAUGUGCCCAAUCUCAUCUGAUCUCGGAGGCUAAGCAGGGUUGGUCCUGAUUAAUACUUGUAUGGGAGAAGGCAUUGAUGCCUAGGGCAAGUU